CGACAUUCGUGACAUACGUGACAAUGGAUACAUCGGCUUUAAACAAAAUGGUUGUUUUAUAUAAGUAACCCGACGACAGGAAACGAUCGUUAUCUUAUCAAAAUCGUUUUAUCUGCCAGCAAAUUUCCAUCCCGAUCAACGCACACAGUCUUCGUGGCGCCUACCAUUGACAGUUGCCUAAAAUCUCCAAAUAUCGCUCCGAUCCAUGCUUUCCUGCACUAUAAUAGCUUCCACACUUUCUUUGUUCUCCAUCAUUUACUGCUCUCUGUUCAGCUAAAGGCAACUACCCAACUAACAUUUUCAGCGCUAUAAGCUUCAGUCAUUUGCUUUCUGUUGUGUAACCAUCGAGUAAAAGCAGUCAACGCUGAAUAAAAGGAAAGCUAGUCAAAUAUAAAGCAUAAGCUAAUACACGACUGCAAAACAAGCACCAUCAAGCUACCAAACUCAGUUUUCAGAAAUCCAUUGCUUGUCACUGGGGCUGCCUUUACUCCACUCUAUUCCAACUCCGGGAGAUUUCCCGGAAGAUGUGAAAACUUGAACACAUCGAAUAGGAGUCCCCACUAACAAAACAGCUGCUACUAUACAGUACAAUUCGUUAUACUGACAAACCCCCAAACCAGCAGCGCUUUAAAGGCCGUUAUGCGAUUUCAUUACGGCUACAAGCUGUAAUAAAGAAACUGUUGGUUUACCAACACGGCUUGUCGUAUGUAAACAUUAUUGCCAAAACAAACUUUAAGCGGGAUAUAUAGCUACUACACAAAUUCUUUACAGCUAUCCAUGUAUGUGCUGUGAAAUUAUUUGGGUUGCUUUUAUUGCACUUUAAUUCAAUGCCGGAAGAUGUUUCGGAAGAUGUGCAAAUCGAGUAAGAGUCCCAGCCACUACAACAGCUGCUUUUAUACAGUACGUUUUGUUAUGUUGCUAAAACACAAAACAGCAGCGCUUCGUAGCCGUUUAAAGAACACUCUUUCAGCUAGAAGCUGUGAAGAAAUAUCUGUUGGCGCAAUCACACAGCUUGUUCAAUGUAAACAUUAUUGCGUUUGACGUUUCACAAGCUUUUGCAGCAAGAUGAAGUUGGGUAAGGUUUCUUGUGGCACAAUUAUGAAGCCUUGUCUGAAGUAAAACAAAACGGGCUAUUUUCUAUGUUAUUUAUAUAUAGCAGUGUGGCAGCGAGGACAUCAUCGGGACCAGUGGAUACGGAGAUCGGGAGUUCGAUUCCAAAUAGCGGCAAGUACUUUAAUUAUUCAAUUUUAAAAGUGAUGAUUCCAGUUCCACAUGUAUUGCGUCACGGUAUCCAUAACCUAAUUAUAUUUAAUCGUUUAAUUUGGGAAUGCCGUAUAACUAUUAUUUAACAACUGCGAAAAGGCUGAAAAAGCGCCUUCUCAAGAUGUUAUUCAGUUAGUGGUUACAUAGGAGCCGAGAAAAGAGCUAUGACUUGGUGGCAUAGAAGCUUCUCGCACAGCAUAUACAUGCUGAUUAAGUUCGCCAGAUUCAUUGGUAUAGGGCUUGCAUAGAAGCUUCCAUCUAUAUGUACAACACAGUAACUCAGCAUCAAGCCGUAUUGAGGACGCUUUGUUGACGUUUACAUUCACAAUAAAUGUUAGUUGGGUAGCAUUCGACUGUUGGCACGUCGAAUCAGCGUUCGAUUCUAGUUGACGAAGGACUUUGGGAGCGGGACAUUUGGCAUAAAGUCAUUUGGCAUAAGGUCGUUUGGCAUAAGGUCAUUUGGCAUAAAGACAUUUGGCAUAACGGUCAUUUGGCAUAAUGGACAUUUGGCAUACCGUCGUGCGGGGCUACUUUUGAAAUACGGGGCUACUUUGGACACUUUUGAAUAUGGAUUUUUUGAAUUUGAAAUAUCGUUCAAAUCUGUUUGAUGUCUUUGGGACUAUUAUGACGCAAUAUUUUCCCCUUCAUUUGGUUGAAAUUAUUUUUCAAACAAACUCUUUAUUGCUUGUCAGGAGGCGAAAAAACAUCGAAUGAAUCAUAAAAAUAUACAUAACGUAUCAGAACAUUUGCUCUGUAAGCAUUGUUUCUGCAGUUCAUAAAUUUCAAAGGGUUGCUCAAUUCGUGCAAGAAGUAUCGACGUAGCAUAUACAAUCGAAUAUUUAUAUGGAUACACAAUAUAAAUGACCGUUUCACCUAAAUAAAGGAAUGAUGGCCCCCAGACAGCCUUUAAGUCUAUAUUAAAAUAUCACGCUGCUCAUAAUACCAAAGGUAGCACAGAACCACCUAAAAACGCAUAUAUUUUUUGAAAUCAUGUAUGAUAUAGUAUGCAACAGUAUUGGUACAAAGUAGUAUUCUAAAUAAACCCGAAAUUUUAACUGCAGUUUUGUUUUAAUUAUGAAUGUCCAAAGUAGCCCCCCUCUGGUUCUAUAUGAUAUGUCUCCGAUUGAUGUAUGGAAAACUUUUUUGUUUAUGGAUGGAUUUAGUUCAAAUUUUGCAUGCAUCCUACAUACAUACUCACAAUUAUUAUGUGUAAAAAUUGUGGAAAUACAUUCACUACUCUGGGAGUUAUAAUGUCAUAAAGUUGAAAAACCAUUAAAAAGUGUAUAAAGAAGCCCCGCACGACGGUAAUCGAAAUGCACACUUCAAAAAAUCUAAACGUCAAGGCUACGUGAAAAAUCACGUAGACCAACUUAAAAUGAACUUUUCAAAAAUUUACCUGACAAAUAUAGCAGUCAUCGGUAUAACGAUCAAGUUUAAAUGGACAAUUAGUUGUGUUUACUCUGUUUCCAUGUUUACCUUACGUGAAAUCCACAUGCAACCCAAAAUUCAUUCUGACAACUGAAUGAAUACUAUAUUCAUUCCGUACUCUACUCGUGUUUCAAGAUGGCGUCUUUGAAAACAAUCUUUGAGAAUUGCUUGCUGAUUCGAACAUUUUGGCCUAUUCGCAGGAAAUAUUUGAGAAUGUGGAGUUGAUUUUACCGAUAUUGACCUUUUUUCGGACCAUAUCCGCAACCAUUUGAGCGUCGGCUCAAAGACUUCGAAAUUAUUUUGGAACAAGAAACUAACCCAACAUUACCGAUUUGGUGUCGGCUUUGCCGGCGGGUUAUCGAUUGCGGCUCAUUGAUAAAGACACAUUCACUUGCUACUUGCCAUGCCACCGCACCCAUUCUACAUCUACAACCACUUUUUGGCGAUGGUUGAAUCAGCAUCUGGAGAACCAGUUCCCGAAAUGAUUUCACCAGUCCUUGCUGAUGGUAUUUCCAGCUUUUCGGGAAACUUUCUUGCCCGUAGUGGAAGUGCUUUUUAACUGUUUUUAAGUUACCCAGCAUGUUUACAAAAAAAUAGGUGAUAAAUCGUAUUUUAUAAUUAGGAACAGCUUGCACGACUAAUGUACGACUGUAAUUGCUAAAAUAAAAUUUAAUUUUAGUAUACUUAACAUUUGCUAUUUAAGAGACGAACCAGCCAAGGGCUGAAAGUCUCUCUAAUAAAGACAAAUCAAUCAAUCAAUUUGCUAUUUACAAAAUAAUGCAUUUAUCCAAUUAUGUAGUGUAAACGCAAUAUUCUUUGCUUCUGCUUUAGUGCUAGCCCAUUAAUACACAACGAAAUAAUGGAAGAAACUAAGAAGUGAGUUUUAUAGCAGAAGCGAAGAAUAAUGCGUUUACCCUUUAGUAAUUGAUCUAAAAUUAUCCGGAGCAUUCGAAAAACAAACAAACGUUGAAAUCAGCGCUAAAUGUGGUGGUAUUUAUCUUUAUUGUAUAUAAAACAUACCGAAACUUCAUUUCCGUUCUAUUGAAACAGUUGGCGAAACCCACAUAACAAUCACGUAAAUGCUACGGGUAUUCCAGUGGAAAGACAGAAUUCAUCGGUUCAUGCAUUCAUCUCUCGUCACCUUCUAUUCACGUAGCUGCUAAGUGAAAAGUGCGAUGGAAAAAAGCUACGUAUGUUUUCACGUAGCCUUGACGUUUGGAUUUUUUGGAGUGCACCCUUCUUUGUUAUGCCAAG